UCCUUUGAUUUUGAGGAAGGUUUAAAGCUAGCGGCACUUUUAAUACAUGCUAGUCAAACGGGGAAUAUAGGCGCCUUCGGCGCCCGCCCUGUGGCAAACAGGUGAGUAAUGUACCGAUUUUACCCAAAAGAAGCACCCAAAUGGUGCGGCGCUUUUUUAUUACUUGCCCGCGCCUUCGGCGCGCGCCCUAAAAAAGAGAGCGCGGCUAAUGACAAGGGCGCCUAUGGCGCCGGAUCGGUCGACGGCGCUCGGUUACUUUUGGAAAGAUCGGAAUUCGUAUUAGACGAGAAGAGUUUUUUAUUUUUAAAAUGCCGGGGGCCCUUCGGACCCCCGGGGCCCGGUUUUUUCCGGGCCCGCUUCUGUCAAUGAUGCGUAGCUGAGAGGUCACAGUUAUACUGAAACAAGGAUAACCGCGCUAAUGCGCGCCAGCAGUAGAGAAUUUUGGGCAAUCAACGAAAGUUGGACCCAGAGAUGUCGCCUUUUAGGGUUUUAUGACUUCGAUGGGCGCCUUAGACCUUUGAUUUACCAACGACCGACCAAAAGCCAAUUGGGGGGUCGUUGGUCGAUCGGUCGUUGGCACCCCGUUCGACGUCUUUUUAGGGGCCAGGAUCCAUUGGAUCCCACCGGGCCCGGCCCACGGCGCCUUUUGGCGCCCAGUCCGUCAAAAAGACGUGCCAGCAGACGCGGUUAUACGUCUGGACUGAGUUUUAACCAAAAAACAGGCGUAAAGUGUGAAGAGGGUGGGUGUUUGGCAAAGGGGGGUUUUCGGCCACCGCUGGCUCCCCUUACUUUUGGACCCGGUUUAAUCCGGGUCUUGCCCGCUAUACAGAGAAAAAAAAGGUAAUUGGUACUUUUAGGUAUUGGUGAAAUAAUUCAAUCUAAAAUGGAACACCGGAGACGAAGGUUAAUUACCAAAAAGUUCUGUCACUUUUUUUCACGAAAACAUAGGGAACAAACAGGAUUAGAUACCCUGGUAGUCUAUUGUUGUAAAAGCUGAUCUAUCGCGGCAUAAUUUCCAUGUCGCCUUGAUAACUCGAAAAGAUUCCGCCUGAAUAGUACGACCGCAAGGUUGAAAUUCAAAAAAUUUGGCGGUUCACUAAUCCAAUUAGAGGAGCGUGUAGUUUAAUGCGAUGAUCCGCGAAUAACCUUACCAGAACUUGAAUAAAAGGAAUCGACCGUCGACCGACCAAUCGGUACCGUACUAGUCGAACCGAGAUUUCGGACCCUUCGUUGGUUGGGGCCCCUUUUACAGGUAUCGCACGGCCGUCGUCAGUUUGUGUUGUGAAACUUUUUAACGAACUUAACCCCUUUUUUGAUAAAAAUGGGGCCUCAAAAAGAGAGAUUUCCUCUGGGCGCCAAAGGCGCCGAGGCUUAUUUGUAGCAAAAUAGGCGGAUCGGCGCCUUCGGCGCCAUCCGCCCACCAAUGACUGCCCGACCGAUUGGGGGGACCCCCCCCAAUCGGUCGGUCAUUGGCUCCCCUUUUCCCCCUUUUUAUCUUUUUUUUUGGGAUGACGUCAGGUCUUCAUGGUCCAAAUGUUCUGGGCCCGGCGCCUUUUGGCGCCCGAUGCGCUACAAUCUUUUAUACAAAAUAAAUUUUUGUUUUGGGGGUUCGGAUCCAAAGGAUCUACCCCCCCGUUAUUUAACAUAAAAGUUCGGAGAAAGGUCUGAAAGGUCCUUUUGAAGUUGGAUUUAAUAGUAAUCGUAAAGUAGAGCGUUACGGUGAAUAUGGCUCUAGUGUUCGUACAAAUCGCCCGUCAACUCGACCGAGUUUUAAAUGUUAAAAGAAACUUAUAAGCUUUUUAGUAUAUAUGGCCGCCGAGUCCGGGCCCGGCUUUUACCGGGCCCCAAAGUCGCUCGAAGGGGCCGGCCAAUCAAUUCGAUCGUACCGUACCGUACCGUACCGUACCGUACCGUACCGUACCGUACCGUACCGUACCGUACCGUACCGUACCGUACCCCCCUCUGAAAGAAGUUUUGGAAUUUUGAGACUUUUGAAAUUAGGUUGAGUAAGUCGUAACAAAGCAAGAGUACUGGAAAGUGUUCUUG
rnacentral:rRNA from 1 species